GCGUCAGUAGUGCAACGGGUUAGAGCACGCGCUCCAGGAUAGAGCGUCAUGUGGGUUCGAGUCUCGCCUGAGGCA